UGUGGAUGUUAAUAGUGAUGGUGGCACAGUGCUGUGGAUGAUGAUGGCGAUGGUGGCACAGCGCUGUGGAUGUGGAUGUGGAUGUGGAUGUUGAUGUGGAUGUUGAUGUUGACGGUGGCACAGCGCUGUGGAUGUGGAUGUGAAUGCUGACGGUGGCACAGCGCCGUGGAUGUGGAUGUUGAUGUGGAUGUGAAUGCUGACGGUGGCACAGCGCCGUGGAUG
rnacentral:lncRNA from 1 species